rnacentral:rRNA from 1 species
GACGAACGCUGGCGGCGUGCUUAACACAUGCAAGUCGAACGGAAAGGCCCUGCUUUUGUGGGGUGCUCGAGUGGCGAACGGGUGAGUAACACGUGAGUAACCUGCCCUUGACUUUGGGAUAACUUCAGGAAACUGGGGCUAAUACCGGAUAGGAGCUCCUGCUGCAUGGUGGGGGUUGGAAAGUUUCGGCGGUUGGGGAUGGACUCGCGGCUUAUCAGCUUGUUGGUGGGGUAGUGGCUUACCAAGGCUUUGACGGGUAGCCGGCCUGAGAGGGUGACCGGCCACAUUGGGACUGAGAUACGGCCCAGACUCCUACGGGAGGCAGCAGUGGGGAAUAUUGCACAGUGGGCGGAAGCCUGAUGCAGCAACGCCGCGUGCGGGAUGACGGCCUUCGGGUUGUAAACCGCUUUCGCCUGUGACGAAGCGUGAGUGACGGUAAUGGGUAAAGAAGCACCGGCUAACUACGUGCCAGCAGCCGCGGUGAUACGUAGGGUGCGAGCGUUGUCCGGAUUUAUUGGGCGUAAAGGGCUCGUAGGUGGUUGAUCACGUCGGAAGUGUAAUCUUGGGGCUUAACCCUGAGCGUGCUUUCGAUACGGGUUGACUUGAGGAAGGUAGGAGAGAAUGGAAUUCCUGGUGGAGCGGUGGAAUGCGCAGAUACCAGGAGGAACACCAGUGGCGAAGGGCGGUUCUCUGGGCCUUUCCUGACGCUGAGGAGCGAAAGCGUGGGGAGCGAACAGGCUUAGAUACCCUGGUAGUCCACGCUGUAAACGGUGGGUACUAGGUGUGGGGUCCAUUCCACGGGUUCCGUGCCGUAGCUAACGCUUUAAGUACCCCGCCUGGGGAGUACGGCCGCAAGGCUAAAACUCAAAGGAAUUGACGGGGCCCCGCACAAGCGGCGGAGCAUGCGGAUUAAUUCGAUGCAACGCGUAGAACCUUACCUGGGUUUGACAUGGAUCGGGAGUGCUCAGAGAUGGGUGUGCCUCUUUUGGGGUCGGUUCACAGGUGGUGCAUGGCUGUCGUCAGCUCGUGUCGUGAGAUGUUGGGUUAAGUCCCGCAACGAGCGCAACCCUUGUUCACUGUUGCCAGCACGUUAUGGUGGGGACUCAGUGGAGACCGCCGGGGUCAACUCGGAGGAAGGUGGGGAUGACGUCAAGUCAUCAUGCCCCUUAUGUCCAGGGCUUCACGCAUGCUACAAUGGCUGGUACAGAGAGUGGCGAGCCUGUAAGGGUGAGCGAAUCUCGGAAAGCCGGUCUCAGUUCGGAUUGGGGUCUGCAACUCGACCUCAUGAAGUCGGAGUCGCUAGUAAUCGCAGAUCAGCAACGCUGCGGUGAAUACGUUCCCGGGGCU